CAGCCGCCGCGGGAAUACGAAGGUCCCGAGCGUUGUUCGGAAUCACUGGGCGUAAAGGGAGCGUAGGCGGCGUGGUAAGUCAGAUGUGAAAUCCCGGGGCUCAACCCCGGAACUGCAUCCGAUACUGCCAUGCUAGAGGAUUGGAGAGGUAGCUGGAAUUCUUGGUGUAGCAGUGAAAUGCGUGGAGAUCAAGAGGAACACUCGUGGCGAAAGCGAGCUACUGGACAAUAACUGACGCUGAGGCUCGAAGGCCAGGGUAGCGAAAGGGAUUAGAUACCCGCGUAGUCCCUGUCUCUUAUAC
rnacentral:rRNA from 1 species